GGAUGGUGGUGCAUGGCCGUUCUUAGUUGGUGGAGUGAUUUGUCUGGUUAAUUCCGAUAACGAACGAGACUCUAGCCUAUUAAAUAACACACAGAAUCAUGUCUUCUGCGGUGUUUCUUAAUGGGAUCAAGUGUGUUUAACACUUUGAAACAGAGCAAUAACAGGUCUGUGAUGCCCUUAGAUGUUCGGGGCCGCACGCGCGCUACAUUGAAAGACAAAAUGAGCGUUUCUGGUUUUUAACAAAACUAGUAAUCUUUGAAUGUUUUUCUUAAU
rnacentral:rRNA from 1 species